rnacentral:rRNA from 1 species
UACGAAGGGGGCUAGCGUUGCUCGGAAUCACUGGGCGUAAAGGGUGCGUAGGCGGGUCUUUAAGUCAGGGGUGAAAUCCUGGAGCUCAACUCCAGAACUGCCUUUGAUACUGAAGAUCUUGAGUUCGGGAGAGGUGAGUGGAACUGCGAGUGUAGAGGGUGAAAUUCGUAGAUAUUCGGAAGAACACCAGUGGCGAAGGCGGCUCACUGGUCCGGUACUGACGCUGAUGUGCGAAAGCGUGGGGAGCAAACAGGGAU